rnacentral:rRNA from 1 species
AUGAGCGGUGUGCCACACCAUCAAGGCAGCGUCAACCUAUAUCAGUACGGGGAUAACUGGGCGCGGCACAACAAGGCGGAUGUUCCAGAGUUGUUCAACCUCUAUGCCAUGGCCCAUAGUGCCCCGUAUAAGAAGGCCAAGGCAUUCUCUGAGUCUGAUCUCGAUGAUCCAAAGAACUUCACCAACCGCGCCUCCCACAACAAGCUCGUGAGGUACAGAGACGAGGGGAAGGCGAGGAAAGGGCCGGACUUUAACCCAAGCCAGCCUAUUGAUCCAGAGCUGGUGAUGAUAUCUGGUGGCGGGAGGAACCAUGGCUUGUUAGCCAUUGGGGAUGGACUGAUACGUUGUACUAGCACUCUCCCGCAGAUCAAGAGGCGCCAGACGAGCUCCGAUCCUGAGAUAAGGCCUCGUCCACGGCCAAUGGAUCUCGAAAUCAAGCAAGCUGCUAUUGAGGAAGGGAGAGCAAAGACCCAGGAGCUUCUGGCGGAGGUAAGGAGGCAGGCGGCGGAGAGGGAGAGGGAGAUUGAUGAGAGGACGGCUAGGCUUUUGGAGGAGGAGAGGAACCGGAACGACUUGGCUAACCGGGCCAUAUACGAGCUCUUCGCGUCCAUGUGCGAGAAGAACGGUCAGACCCCUCCGCCGAUGCCAGUCAUUGCUCCGGCGGACACGCAUAACUCCCGACAAGCAUCGACGUCUGCAUUGGCGCGAGCAAGAACCCCGAUCCUCCUCCGUCUGCCACUACCGCGAGCAAGAACCCCGAUCCUUCACCUACGGGUUGAUGAUUUGCUUCAGAUCACGGAAGCUUGGGUUGAUGGAGUGCUUGUCUUUAGUUUUUGUUUUGACUUUGUGAAACUUGCUACCUAUGAUGAAACUGUGUAA